GCAAAUGUUUGAUGGAUCAAGAUAAUGUAAUAUUUCCUCAGUACAAAGCUGCUUCUACCAACCAGCAGGAGAUGUCUCUUCUGUCUUCCUCCAGACAAAUACUUGAAGGACCAAGACAUAUUCCCUCGGGGCAAAGCCAAGUGUGAUCUGUUCCUCCUAACAAACAGCAGAAUGCAAAAAGUAAAGCAUUUUCUGCUGUUGGGGAGAGGCUUUCAAAGUGAACCGCGAGAACACCAAAACAGCUGCCGGACUGAAAUGUGAAAUACGGUAACGUUUACUGAAUCUGAGCGAGAGCGGGAAGAGAAGACGACUUUAAAAUAUCGUCUAAACAUCGUAUUCGCCAUCGAUACUGAGCCGGAAGAAUGUUGUGUGUCGCUUUAUAAACAUUCCGGGGUGUUAUUGAAAAUGUGAAAAGACAGUUUGCAGACUGCAGUGUUUAGCCUGUUUUGUUUCAGCUUCGUCACAAGGUUUAGAAAAUUGACCAUUCUCAUUAUCAGAAAUGGACAGACAGGGGUGGGCAAAUGAGGGAGAGA